rnacentral:rRNA from 1 species
AGAAUCAACGCUGGCGGCGUGCCUCAGACAUGCAAGUCGAACGCGAAAGUCCCCUUCGGGGGACAAGUAGAGUGGCGCACGGGUGAGUAACACGUAGGUAAUCUACCUUCGGAUGGGGAAUAACAAUCGGAAACGGUUGCUAAUACCGCAUAAUGCAGCGGCACCUAAUGGUGACAGUUGUUAAAGCGGGGGAUCGAAAGACCUCGCGUCUGAAGAGGAGCCUGCGGCGGAUUAGCUAGUUGGUAAGGUAAUGGCUUACCAAGGCUACGAU